GUCUUUGUGGAGUAAUAUAUAUGAUACUCACUCCAACUUGCUAAGGCAGCAUUGUGAAAUUCAACUCGGAGCAGGAGAGUCGGUGGUUCGAAUCCACCCGAAGACA